UACAGAGGGUGCGAGCGUUGUUCGGAAUUAUUGGGCGUAAAGGGCGCGUAGGCGGUGCGGUAAGUCACCUGUGAAAUCUCCUGGCUCAACUGGGAGCUUGCAGGCGAAACUGCCGUGCUGGAGUGUGGGAGAGGUGCGUGGAAUUCCUGGUGUAGCGGUGAAAUGCGUAGAUAUCAGGAGGAACACCUGUGGCGAAAGCGGCGCACUGGACCACAACUGACGCUGAGGCGCGAAAGCUAGGGGAGCAACAGG
rnacentral:rRNA from 1 species